GUGGUGCCUUCACUGCUGCACUGUGAGAACUGCACUGCAGCCAGAAGGAGCCACGGACAGCAAGAGCCGUGGAUCCUGCCGACAGCGUCUGCAGAGACAGCAGAGUGUUCUGUGCGAUGGUUCCACACACU
rnacentral:snoRNA from 1 species